UACGAAGGUCCCAAGCGUUAUCCGGAUUUAUUGGGUUUAAAGGGUGCGUAGGCGGGUUGUUAAGUCAGUGGUGAAAGCUCUCAGCCUAACUGAGAAAUUGCCAUUGAUACUGACGAUCUUGAGUACAUUUGAGGCGGGCGGAAUGUGUCAUGUAGCGGUGAAAUGCUUAGAUAUGACACAGAACACCGAUUGCGUAGGCAGCUCGCUAAACUGUAACUGACGCUGAGGCACGAAAGCGUGGGGAGCAAACAGG
rnacentral:rRNA from 1 species